CAGUUUCCUCAUCUGGCAACGGGGGGACGAAGACCGUGAGCCCCGUGCGGGACGGGGACCGUGUCCCGCCCGAUCAGCUCGUCUCUACCCGUGCCAAGGUGGGAAGCAUUUCGUGGACCGGAUGUAGGCGCUUUGCAACGAGAGGGUCACGUAUAAAGCCCUCAAACCAGGUGGAAUUGAUCCCUCGGCUCUUUGGCUGCUCUGUGGGAGCCUGGACGCUCCGUUUCGGGAUAGUAGAUAGGCAUCAGCUCCAGCCCCAACUGCUCCCACCUCCUCCUCCUCCUCCUCGCCCUCCUCCUCCUUCUCCUCGCCCUCCUCGUCCUUUUUGUCUUCCUCGUCGUCCACGUUCUCCUCCUCGUCAGCCUUCUCUUCUUUGUAGUCAUCCUUCUCUUCAACCUCCUCCUCCUCCUCCUUGUCCUUUGUCUUCCUUGUUGUCCUUGUCCUUCUCAUCUUCUCCUCGUCCUCGUUAUCCUUCUCUUCAUCCACU